AGCAUUGUGCAGUGGCAGUAUCACAGCAGUGACGUUUAUCCAAGGCACAAUUAUUGCUCAUUGAAAACCUUUCCCAAUACCCUGCUGUGAUGACUUGCAGUGUAGUCAGUACUGGAAAUUGUUGACGGUCUCUACGGAGA